rnacentral:lncRNA from 10 species
AGAUGAAUGAGUCAGAGAGUUCAUUUGGAAUUUGAGUUUACCAAGAUAUGAAAGGCAAAGGUGUCUUCGUUUUAUUUCCAAAAAAGCAACAGCAACAGUCCUUAGAAGAAAAGUGAAAAAGUGACUAAGGCUGGAUGAAAGCAGACACAGCCAAAAGAUUGAUUUCAUAAACUGCAAGGGGACAAAAAGAGGUUAAGAGCUCAGCCACUGGUCGGAGGCCACUGCAGGCCAAGGAAAGGUUCUACCCUCAUAAUAGAGAGCAAG